AUCCAGCCGACGAGUCCUAAAUGAAACUAAACGAGCGUCUUGGAU
rfam:Schistosoma rodhaini strain Burundi genome assembly, scaffold: SROB_scaffold0004477